AUGAAGUGAUUCAGUAUGAACCUCGCUGUGAGAUUUGACGAAGAAAACAUGCCGGCGCCAGCGUCAUGUAUGAGCGCUGAGCACGGCUGUGUUAUGUUCGAUUGUCUGGUGCAUUUGUGGGAAUGGAUCGAUCCACCGGUGACACAGACGGACUAUCAGAUGGAGAAUAAAAAAAAUGUAACAGCAACCCAACAGCCGGUGACACAGCAACAUCUCAUGGCUCAUCAUGUCCAUCCUGACCAAAUAUAUUCACCCCAACAGACGCAGUUACCCACACUUGUUAAUAAUCAAGCCGCGCAAAUCCAACAGAAUGGCGUCAUGCAUCAACUAUUACAAAGCCAAUAUCACUCGAAUAUGAAUGCACGAUCGCCACUCCUUGAAAACAAGCACGAGAUGUAUGGAACUGGACAUAAUCACGACUAUGUUAGACAUUACGGGGCGAAUGACAAUUACAAUUAUCCACAAUCACCGCCCAGAAUUGAAAAAACCGAGAUUCACACAGACCACAACGUAAAUCACGAACUGCUUCAGAAUAUGCCUAAAGGUUACAACGCUGAAGUUUAUCAAGAUUAUAUGAAACGAAACCCACCGAAAGACACUAACCAAAUAUAUCAAAACCAUCAACCUAUGUACAGACCUAACAUGAACCAGUACGGUUCUAAGCCGUAUCUUCCUUAUUCAAACAGAAUAGGGCCCCAAAGUAACACGGAAUUAUUGAGGAGGCAGUAUAAUGAAAUUCAACAGAUGAAAAUGCAACAACAGAUGCAUUAUCAGAAUCAAGCUCAGAUGCAUCAACAGCAAAAAUUCGCUGAACGACAACUUUUACUGCAGCAAAUCCAUGGAGUACAACCGCCGCCGAACUUGCAGAACAGCAUUUAUUCAGACAGUUCGUACAGAGACUUAGAUCGAUAUAGCAGUAAGAAUGACUUCAAGGAGUACAGCAGUAAUGAUAUACAACGAGAUAUGGAGAGGUACGCCAAGAACUAUGAUUACAACGACAUGGACAUACAAAACAGACAGUACCAGGAGAGUCAAUGGCAGACAAACCAUAACGACUACAGGGAAUCCGAAAGGCAAAGACAAUAUUCGGAACACGAGAAAUCAAAAAGCCAAUCCCCGCCGUCUGACUAUAGCAACCAAAAGACCAAUUCAGGAGUCGUAUCUCCUAUGAAAUCUAGUGAAUCUAGUACUCCCAGUAUAAAAUCUCCUUCAUCAGAUAGUAGGAGAAGUAGUAGCGGCACUCAAGCACUACGUUCACCGACUGCCCAAAGAAUACCAUCAGCGCCAGUGAGCAUGUCCGGAAUGCUGUAUAAACAGGGCUCUGAUGGCCUUAAAGUUUGGAGGAAACGGUGGUUCGUGCUAUCUGAGUACUGUUUAUUUUACUACAAAAGUCAAGACGAGGAGAAGUUACUGGGUUCUGUGUUAUUACCGUCAUACAAAGUAUCAGCUUGCAGCGCAGAGGAUAAAGUGAUGCGGAAGUUUGCUUUCAAACUGGAGCAUGCGAAUAUGCGUACAUACGUGUUAGCGGCUUUGGACCAGGAAGCCAUGAUGAAAUGGGUGAAGGCGCUUACAAUGGCCGCGUUAAUGCAAAAUACCAAUGAACAGAAACAAAAUGACCGAUCAGCGAAAUCAGAGGAAAGUAAUGAGGAAGCCGGCCCAACUUAUGCCAACGCCCCACCAAAACCGAGACGAUCCAACGAUGGAUAUAAUUCACCUAGUCCGGAUAUGUACGAUCCAAAUUACGAUCUCCUUAGAAAACCAGCAUCACAAUAUAGUCAAGGCACUAGUAACACUAGAACGAACUACAUACAGGAAACAUACCGAAGUCCACAGAAUCCAUUACAAUCUCCAUAUCAAACAAAACGCUCAUACGACAUGCAGCAACUGUCACUACCAUUAACAAAUACAACAGACAAUUCAGACAAUCAGAAUACAUCCGUGUAUAAAUCUAACCCUCAAUCUCCUUAUGACAAUAGGUUAAGAAACCAACAUACUAAAGAGGACGAAGAAAAAAUUGAAAGUCUAUACGAUAAGAAGCCUAAUUACAAUCCAUUCUUACAAGAUUAUUCUGGACAAGAGAGGAAAUCCCAAGAGAACGAAGAUGUUAGUCGUGUGACGGCAGAUAUGAGCAAAACAUCUAUAUACAGUGAACAUUAUUCUGAUAACAGAAGCAUUAAGUCACACGACCCGAAUGUAUACAAUAGAGAAAUGUACGGAGAUAUUAAUAUGAAAAGUAAUAAAACUAACGCUAACAUGAACGAACGCACUCCUGAAACAUACGGACGACCGAACGCAUCGGCGUACAGUGAGAAAAUAGGAGAUUACGAAGAUAUUUACAGCGCGUACAAUAAUGAUAGUGGAAAAAUAUACCCGAAAUCUCCGAACCCAUCGCAGUCUAGGGAUACCGUCAGUCUGUCCAGCCACAAGUCACCCCAAGAACAAAAUACGAAUUAUGUACAGGAGAAAACUUUCUCUGGACCAUCCGUUCUGAGGAGGAAGAAGAUGCAGGCAAGUGGCAUUCAACCGACGAUGCCGCGACCGCACAGCGCUGACUUUUUAGAAUACGAGUCCAAAAACGAAGCCCUUAACAAUUCGGUCCCAGUACGGAAAACUAACGACCAAACCAAACAACCACAACGUCCCAAAUCCAGUUUAGACAUCAAUUCAUAUUACGACCCCAGUUCAGACAAAUACUAUUCAGAGGAGAGCUAUGCAGAAAAAAUGCGGCAAUCCGCACAAUAUUUACAACAACAGAACAUGGGCCCCAAAAAUAUACGUAUUCCUUUAGAGAAAUACGCGAGUGGACUGGCCGAAAAACAGCUGCAUUCACCGUACAACCAAAAUAACAACAAUAACUAUGAGACAGAGUUCAACGUCAAUAGAACAGUACGAGAUCAUACGAACUAUGCGUCCACGAUACAAGACCGCGAAGGAAUGAAUUCCAACUGGACCUUAAAAGAAAAAGACCUUGAAAACCAAAAGGAAUACCUCAAUAGAAGUGGUAGUGUCAUGAGCGAUGGUUCAAAUGUUAGUGCUAUAAUAAAAGAUUCUAGAUUCGAUCCCAGCUCCGAAGGUUUCAUGAGAUCAGCAAGUGCCAGAUUGCCGUCGGAAAGAGACAGAGAUAAAAAAGUGCAACAGCGCGAGGAAUCUAUGAAAAGGCUUUUAGAAUGGAAGCAGAGGAUGUUACAAUCGCCUUUAACUAGGAAAAGUACACCGGCGACUAUUUCUUUGGCAAGAUCCUUGAAUCAGAGCCGACAAUCGUUGAGAUCUGAUCAAUAUAAGCCCAAAACAUAUAAGAACGCCUCUUACAACAGUUACUCUUCAGAUGACGAAGCUUCAAUGACAAUGUCAGGAACAAAUAUUGAAACAGGCCCUAAUAAUAAUAACAACAAUCAACAUAAUCAGACAACCUUGUCAAAUAAACCAUUCCUCGGAAGCAACACAUCCAUUGGCAGGACUAAUAGGGAUGGGAAUAUUCCCGUUCGAGCUGUCAGUCCAAGAGUACGAUGGGUCGAAGACAAACAUAAUGAAGAGUACGGCUCGCAACAAUUGACUACAUCGCAACAUAAUUUAAAUAAUUUGAAUCCAUCCGAAGAAGGAUGGUCGACUGUUAGGUCACCUUCAAGAGUUAUCCAACAGCCAAUAAGGGCUGUCAGUCCGAGAGUAAGAAGGAACACUGAGAAUGAUGAAUUGCGUAAGGAUAAUCAGGAGUUGGGCGAAGUUCCAACAGCUGGGGAGCUUUUGGGACGAAGUCACGAGGAAUUAGUCCUGCUCUUGAUACAACUGAGACGUCGACAUGCUGCCACACAUCGAUCUAUUGAGCAAUGUUGUGCCCAAAUUAGUAGCAUCGAGGAUUGUAUGAGCUCGUUGAAAGCUAUGGAGCGUGAAGAGAGUUUGCAACGUCUGGAACAUUUGAAGAUGCAAUUAAUGGACCUGGAAAGUCAGUACGAGAAAAGCAAACCACUGGUACAGCUGGUUGAUAAUAUGGUGAAAUUAGGCUCAUUGUAUAAUAGACCAGGUUCCACUAUUGAGAGAUUGGAAAGGAAUCAGAGACUUCGACAAAAAGUUCUAGCUGAGCAUGCUUUAGAACAACAGAGGUGGUUGGAAAGUGCUGCCGCCGGUAAAGCAUUAGAGACAGAGGCGGCUCGUGUGAGGGUGUCCGAGCUGUGGGCGUUGGAACAGGAACUGGCUGAUGAGGCAGCCAUCUUACAGGGUUUGAAGACUGAUAAAGAUGCCAUCGAUUCAUUACUAACUGGUGUUCGUAGUAAACUAACAUCUGCUAGCGCGAGCCAGCCCGGCCUGGAGGUGGAGCUGGCGAGGGUGCACGCCAUGUUGGCGCACAAUUCAAAGGUUUAUAAGAAAUUGGAGCAGACGGUAGCAGAUAACGCUCGUCUGGAACGAGAGCUGCAUCACCUGCGAAGAGCGCUGAGAGCACAACGAGCCAAUACACAGACACACGCACACCCCACCGCUAUGUUAGAGGAUGAGGUAUCCCGAGUUCAACAUCUUGUAUCGGCCCUCCAACGUCAGAGACAGGAAUUGUCUCGUGCCGUAAGACAUUUGACGCAACAGUCACACGUCCUACAAACAACACAUGACUCCACUGGAAAACGUAGACCGAUGUCUUCGUGGCAGGAGACAAACCUAGAUACAGGUCACACGAUUGAUCAUGGGCAUUCUGAUUACGACUAUGAACCAUCGGCGCCAUUACAGCCCCCGGGACAUUACGGACAGAGUAUGGAAACACCACUAUAUGUUGACACUCGAUCACCUGGGAUGGAUGUUGCUUCACCUAUAAACAGCGAGGACAUGCACCAUACUGCUUUUGGUAAUUUAACCAACGUAGAGAAACAAGAAAUCAAAACAGUACGUAUUGUCAAAAGAGAGAGCGAAAGACGUCAGAGAGACAGAGAACGUUCGUUACAGCCGAUGUCCGAUUGGUCUGCGAACAACAUCACAGCCAACAUAGAUCAAUUUCUGGAGGAAGAAUUAGUGCAGCCGAUAAAUAACUACCGAGCAUCAUCCUUACCAAGAACAGACUAUAGCAAAUACGAGGAAUAUUAUUCAAAACCUCAAAACCAAGAUCAGUCACCCUACAUCCGGAUUAACGACAAAAAUAUGGACCAAAGUCCUAAAUAUCCGUCGAGUCCAUCUUUAUCUAACUACGAUUACUCUCGAGAUAUAUCCUCAUUAAGCAGCAGCUAUCAUAGGAGUUACGACAAAUCAGGGUACGAUCGUACGAAUUCACUAUCCACUCAGUACUUGAAUACGCCCACAGACAGCGCUAGGACGUUGACAAACGAUCCUAUAUCAAAAACUAGUAGUAUGGCGAGUUUGACGAGGUCGAACAUAGAAUUGUCACCGAUAUUCAAAAGCGAGGCAGCCAAGCAAAUCAUAACUGAAAUGUCAAGCGAUGCUCCAAAGAACGGCACGCUUCAUAGACGACAAGUGCCAAAAGAGAAAAGACGACAUUACACCGCUCCUCAUCACCUCAGCGCGAAAACGCUGAAUGAAAUGCCUAAAGAUGUAUACAAUCAAGAUGCUUUAGGCAGGUCAUUAGAUGACGCGGAUAUGGAGCGCGCUCUUCGCACGGGCGCCCCGGAUGUUGUACGCUCUGCUUUGCCUCGCCGCGUACCAGAUUCGAUAGACCAACUACUCGCAGCGCCACAGAAGAUUAUCAUACCGGAGCGUUAUAUACCAGAGAAGCCACCAGAACUAUCGCCUGAGGAACAGCAAAAACGCCAGGAAAAGGUGGAAUCGAUCAAGAAAAUGCUAACAGGUUCUUCAGCGGAUCCGAGUAAGAGCCCGGAUGGUGAAGACAAGCGUCAGCGGGAACACCUGCUGCAGAUGAACCAGCUGCUGGCGCGACAGGUUACAGAGAUGAGCAAGAUCAUAGCUGGAACCAACGAUGGGAAGCCGGACACGAAAUAAUAUUCAUUACUCAUAUAUAGAUACAUCUGUACAAGGAGAUUUAGCAGCAUGAUAACAUUAUUUGCAUUUUGUUUUAAAGCAUUAGAAGAGCUGCCGACACAGAACAACGACGAGGACUACGAAGAUCGCUCGCCGGACGUCGAACUACCGAUAUAUCAGCAGAGAUAUAACUUCUUCACAUAAUAAAAUAUACCAUUGCGCACCAUUUAAACAGCAGUUCACUGAUAGUUAUUUGAUUUUAUUCGAUCAUAUUAAGAUAUAACGCGACAUGGUCCCUUAAAAUACCUAUACGAUCAAAUUUAAUAUCAUGCUGACAUAUAAUAUACCUAAGACUUGUGAAAAAAUCUAUUAUUCGCAUAACAUUCUUUCUAGAAUUUCCAACUUUAAGUACAUUAUACAUAGAUAUGUGUAAAUUUUCGUAAUAUUUGCCAUUAUUAUUUGCCUAAUCGUAGGUACACAAUAUAAUACAAUAUCGGCUUUACAUAUCUUAGUACUUCGUAUAUUACGUAGGUAAUCAUCGAGCUGUGAAUGCUCAAUUUAGUGACAUUCCUUCAAUAUAUAUACAUAUAAUAUUUAUUUACCGUGUUUAUGGGCCAGUUUAUAUAGUUCCCAAAUAACAUAGUCUUCUAUAAAGGGCCUUUAGUAGGUUAAGGUAUAUGCAGAAAUAAGUGCAAACUAUGCCAUGUUCAUGUAUAGUAUAAUAGACAGCACUAUUACGAAAUAAUGCGUUUUAGUAUUAUGUUAGUAAACGUUACAUAUUUAAUAUUAUUUGCAUGUAGAUAUUUUAUAUUAAUUAAUAAAUAUAACUAAACAAAACGCUUCGUUAUUUAAUAGGGGCGUGAUUAAUGAUAUUGUUUUACCUGAUAUUAUUUUAUAAAUUCAUCACACAUAUAUGAUCUUAUUGAAUUUAUUGUUAGAUGUAGCGUUGGGAUUUGACUGUACUAGCAUCUGAAGCCUAUCUUAUGUAGCCUAUAUAAGCUUUAAACAAGAAGUUAACCUUUAAACUACCAUGUUAUAUCAAUUUUACUUUAAUAUUGAAAUAAUCUACCGGACGGUAUAAAAGUCAAUCAUUCAUAUAUCUUUUGCUUUAUAAUUUAUAUAUUCGUUCGUUCGUUCGUUCAUUCGUUCGUUCGUUCGUUCGUUCGUUCGUGAAACUGACGUUUUCAAAUGUAUCCUAUAAAUGAAUUUAAAUAUUAUAUACGUAUACAAGUAUCAACUCCUAGUGUUAUAGACUGAAAUAGUUCUGCCUUAUGUAACGUCAUUUAAAACUUUCCUAAUGUUUCAUUUUAUAAUGUCAAUUAUGUACCUAUCUAUCUAAAUAAAGACAAUUAUUGUUUA